AUACUUACCUUGUUUCGAACUCCCCAGCUCAAGAUUCGGGGGGUUCAGUGAGGGAGGCCUGCAUUGCACGUCGCGGAGUCGUUCCUCUCUCCAUUGUCCUUCGGGGCCAUGGGAGGCGCAAUUUUUGAUUUUCACCAACUGUUUUCAUUGUGA
rnacentral:snRNA from 24 species